CAGCAGCCGCGGUAAUACCGAGGGUGCGAGCGUUAAUCGGAUUUACUGGGCGUAAAGCGUGCGUAGGCGGCUUUUUAAGUCGGAUGUGAAAUCCCUGAGCUUAACUUAGGAAUUGCAUUCGAUACUGGGAAGCUAGAGUAUGGGAGAGGAUGGUAGAAUUCCAGGUGUAGCGGUGAAAUGCGUAGAGAUCUGGAGGAAUACCGAUGGCGAAGGCAGCCAUCUGGCCUAAUACUGACGCUGAGGUACGAAAGCAUGGGGAGCAAACAGGAUUAGAUACCCCGGUAGUCCCUGUCUCUUAUAA
rnacentral:rRNA from 1 species